GACGAACGCUGGCGGCGUGCUUAACACAUGCAAGUCGAACGGAAAGGCCCUGCUUUUGUGGGGUGCUCGAGUGGCGAACGGGUGAGUAACACGUGAGUAACCUGCCCUUGACUUUGGGAUAACUUCAGGAAACUUGGGCUAAUACCGGAUAGGAGCUCCUGCUGCAUGGUGGGGGUUGGAAAGUUUCGGCGGUUGGGGAUGGACUCGCGGCUUAUCAGCUUGUUGGGGGGGUGGUGGCUUACCAAGGCUUUGACGGGUAGCCGGCCUGGGAGGGUGACCGGACACAUUGGGACUGAGAUACGGCCCAGACUCCUACGGGAGGCAGCGGUGGGGAAUAUUGCACAAUGGGAGGAAGCCUGAUGCAGCAACGCCGCGUGCGGGAUGACGGCCUUCGGGUUGUAAACCGCUUUCGCCUGUGACGAAGCGUGAGUGACGGUAAUGGGUAAAGAAGCACCGGCUAACUACGUG
rnacentral:rRNA from 1 species